rnacentral:rRNA from 1 species
AGCGUAGGCGGCGUGGUAAGUCAGAUGUGAAAUCCCGGGGCUCAACCCCGGAACUGCAUCCGAUACUGCCAUGCUAGAGGAUUGGAGAGGUAGCUGGAAUUCUUGGUGUAGCAGUGAAAUGCGUAGAGAUCAAGAGGAACACUCGUGGCGAAAGCGAGCUACUGGACAAUUCCUGACGCUGAGGCUCGAAGGCUAGGGUAGCGAAAG